AACGGAGUACGCGUCACCGUGACCGAUAUCCCAAGCUGGUGCCUAAGAGAGGCCACCGCAUCAAACACUAUGGAGUGAAGUGGAAGAGCCAAAGGGGAGAUGGAAUCCUCUAUCUCAGUCCAUUCACAAGAGGACGACAGCAAAGACCGAGUGUCAGAACUACUACGAUCACCCGGACCAUCAUUGGUCCAAAGACCCUCCCACUGAGAAGAAUGAACAUGGCUCUUAUAUGGGGGGUGAAGGAGCAGAAAUUCAGCAUGCCAAAGAGCCUAUAGAGUUGCC
rnacentral:lncRNA from 1 species